UAUGUCGGUGCUCUGCUUUCUUGGUGAUCGGUCUUGUGGCUGCUGGGGUCUUGUGCGUCUUUACACAUGCGGGUGGUCUCGGGCAGACUGGGUUUGUGGUCCUCCUGUGCUUCCGGGCUUGCGGGGGUGCGUUGUUCUUGACUGCUUUUUCGACUUUUGCUGCCGGUUUGAGUGUUGGGUCUCCGUUCGGCUGUUGCGGCUUUGAUUCUUGUAUAUAGUUUCUCAGAGGCUCAUCGUACUUGUUUUCUUGCAUUACUACAAUCUUCUUCGUUUUAUCCUCUCUUGUGAUUAUUAAGUCAUUCUGAUGUGCUCAGAUCGUGGUUCUUCUAAUGAGGUUGGUUUCAUGGACGCCAGUGUUGUUUGGCUUCUUGGGUCGUUUCUGUUUCGUGGCCUGUCUUGCUUGGUGCCGCCUGUGCUUGUGCUUGGUGCUGUCACUUUCUUGCGUGUCCUUGAGCGGGUCUUCUAUUGUUGGCGCAUUGCUGCUUGGUUUGGGGAGGGGUGGCGCAUGCCGGGCUUUUCUGCGGUGGGUCCUUCCCGAAUUGCGGAGGCUGUGUGUCUCCAAUAACUGUUGCCAUUUUGUCUAGCUCUAGUUUCUUGAUUGUCCUGGCGGCUUUCUACUUUUUCAGUGGCCACUUCACUUUCUUGGCGUGUUGCUCUUGUGACUAAUAUCUACUGUUCUCUGUAUAUUUGCAGUGCACAUUUACUAUAAAAAGUCAUUUCAUACAUACUCUCAUUAUUAAUAAUAGUGCUGGAAAUAUUUAUUGUCAUGUGCAGGUGUGCAAUUCCUAGACAAGUGUGGCACAUGUCAAGCGCAUUGUUAUAUCUCAGGGUUUUUCAAUGAGGUAUUUCCAUGCCGUCGGCACUGCAAAUAUACAGAGACGUUUGUUUUAAAUUUAAACCUAUACUAUUUUGGUGUUUGGAAUGCGACGUUGUUUUUGUUUGAGUACUUGUUCUGGAAUGUUAAAUUCGUUUGGGC
rnacentral:lncRNA from 1 species